rnacentral:rRNA from 1 species
UACGUAGGGCGCAAGCGUUGUCCGGAAUUAUUGGGCGUAAAGAGCUCGUAGGCGGCCUGUCGCGUCCGCUGUGAAAUCCCGGGGCUUAACCCCGGGCGUGCAGUGGAUACGGGCUGGCUAGAGGCAGGCAGGGGAGAACGGAAUUCCCGGUGUAGCGGUGAAAUGCGCAGAUAUCGGGAGGAACACCGGUGGCGAAGGCGGUUCUCUGGGCCUGUACUGACGCUGAGACGCGAAAGCGUGGGGAGCGAACAGG